GUCACCAAUCUCAACUAUCACUAGUGUGAUUAUAGAGUGUAGAGUUCGUAACUAUUGGAACGAAAAUUUACAUAAAGAUAGAAAUGGCAGAAUACCUAUUCAUAGUCAAUCUGUAAGGCAUUGUCUCACAAAAUAUGGAGACGGCAGAUAUCUUUUUUGAAUCAGUCUGAUAACCAUGUCAAAGAUGUCUACCGUGAGGAAGGUCAAGAGCCAUGAUUCUCUCAUGAGGUUCCAACAAUGCAGUAUAAACUUAAAAGUUAGCAGCAGAUCCAGACUACACAUUCACUGCAAUAAAUAAGAUAUUUGACGCCUUUAAUCAAAUUUACAUUUCAAUGAGCAAUGCAUCUUUGUACAACUAAAAUGAAAUAGAAAGUUUAAAUAAUUAGACAACUAUUAUGAUGCAAAUCAAAUCAUAACUUCCAAGUGUAUAACAUAUAAUUUAUACAUCCUUCUCUAUCAAAAUAAUGAUUUAGCAGAUGCAUUAAUUUCUCAUCUAGCUUUAUGAUUCUUAAUUAUGCAAUUCGAUAUACCAGCCAAGAACAAGAAAAAAAAAAUUAAACAUUUAUAUAAAUGCACACUCACAACAAAAGGGUACAGAUCUCUUAGCCUGGUAAAACAACUUCAAUGAGAAGUAAUUUCAACAAGUACUAGCCCUUUCCCUAUGAAGAACAAGUAAGAUAAAUCUCCCAGCAUAAUAGACACCCCUUAAUCUCAAAAUCCUCAUCUAUGCUAAUAAAUUUUGUGGUUCCAGUGAAAAUAAAUAAAUAAAACUUUAGCAUAUUCAUAAGAUGGCUCAUUUUCCUCCCCAGUUUUCAUAAUCCAAUUGAAAAGCUUCUAAUGCACGCUUCUGACAUAAGGUCUCAGCCACGUCAAUGUACCUAUUAAAUAAAACUUAUAAGUUACGUAUCACACAGUUUAUCUUGUAGAACUGGAAAGCAAGGUAGAUGCAGAAAACAAAUGCUACACAAUAUUCCAAUCAUGUCAUAGUAAAACUUUGAUUAAAAAAAAAAAAAAACCAAUCCAUCAAUUUCAAAUAUCGUAAAAUUCGAUGAUCAAAGGCAAGGUUGCUUCAAGAUUCACAUAAUCAUUUCCUUCUGGCUCCAGGAUAUCCUUCACUGUAUUUGUUAGUCAUAAAAAACCCAACCGCUUGCAUCACUGGCACUAAUGUGAAAUUCUCCGACGAAAUAAGCUCAAGUCC
rnacentral:misc_RNA from 1 species